UCCAUCUACACGACAUCUCUAGGACCAGUCAUUCAGAAACAUGGAUUCUGGGCUACAGUGGACUAUGUUGAUCGGGUGUCCACACUAAGAGCGGUAUCGAUAUGGUGCUCCUGGGGGAGCUUGGGACGACCAGGUCGUGUAAUGAGGGGUGAACCGGCCCAGGUCGGCGACGGAGCAGGUCAAAUCCCCCGUGCUGAUCAGUAGUGGGAUCACACCUGAGAAUAGACACUGCAGUGCAGCCUGAGCGACA
ensembl:misc_RNA Metazoa_SRP Metazoan signal recognition particle RNA